rnacentral:misc_RNA from 1 species
UAUGAAGAACGUAGUGAAAUGCGAUAAGUAAUGUGAAUUGCAGAAUUCAGUGAAUCAUCGAAUCUUUGAACGCACAUUGCGCCCGCCAGUAUUCUGGCGGGCAUGCCUGUUCGAGCGUCAUUACAACCCUCAGGCCCCCGGGCCUGGCGUUGGGGAUCGGCGGAAGCCCCCUGCGGGCACAACGCCGUCCCCCAAAUACAGUGGCGGUCCCGCCGCAGCUUCCAUUGCGUAGUAGCUAACACCUCGCAACUGGAGAGCGGCGCGGCCACGCCGUAAAACACCCAACUUCUGAAUGUUGACCUCGAAUCAGGUAGGAAUACCCGCUGAACUUAAGCAUAUCAAUAAGCGGAGGA